rnacentral:rRNA from 1 species
UACGGGGGGGGCAAGCGUUGUUCGGAAUUACUGGGCGUAAAGGGUUCGUAGGUGGCUCGCUAAGUCAGACGUGAAAUCCCUCAGCUUAACUGGGGAACUGCGUCUGAGACUGGCAAGCUUGAGUGCAGGAGAGGAACGCGGAAUUCCAGGUGUAGCGGUGAAAUGCGUAGAUAUCUGGAGGAACACCGGUGGCGAAGGCGGCGUUCUGGACUGCAACUGACACUGAGGAACGAAAGCCAGGGGAGCAAACGGG